rnacentral:rRNA from 1 species
UACGUAGGGUCCAAGCGUUAUCCGGAAUUACUGGGCGUAAAGAGUUGCGUAGGUGGCAUAGCAAGCGGAUAGUGAAAUGAUACGGCUCAACCGUAUGUCCAUUAUCUGAACUGCUGAGCUAGAGAAUGAGAGAGGUUAUUGGAAUUCCCUGUGUAGGAGUGAAAUCCGUAGAUAUAGGGAGGAACACCGAUGGCGUAGGCAGAUAACUGGCUCAUUUCUGACACUAAGGCACGAAAGCGUGGGUA